AAAGCCUCUUCGGAGGUGAGUAAAGUGGCGCACGGGUGAGUAACGCGUGGGUAAUGUGCCCUCGGGUUUGGGAUAACCCCGGGAAACCGGAGCUAAUACCGAAUAAGACCACGAUGACCUCGGUCGAUGUGGGAAAAGGUGGCCCCUCGCAGAAGCCAUCGCCGGAGGAUCAGCCCGCGUUUGAUUAGCUUGUUGGUGAGGUAACGGCUCACCAAGGCUCCGAUCAAUAGCUGGUCUGAGAGGAUGAUCAGCCACACUGGAACUGAGACACGGUCCAGACUCCUACGGGAGGCAGCAGUCAGGAAUAUUGGGCAAUGGGCGAAAGCCUGACCCAGCAACGCCGCGUGAAGGAUGAAGGCCCUCGGGUCGUAAACUUCUGUCGAGAGGGAAGAACUGCGUACGGUUAAUAUCCGUGCGUUUGACGGUACCUCCAAAGGAAGCACCGGCUAACUCCGUGCCAGCAGCCGCGGUAAUACGGAGGGUGCAAGCGUUGUUCGGAUUUAUUGGGCGUAAAGCGAGUGUAGGCGGUUUGACAAGUCGGGUGUGAAAUCCCAGGGCCCAACCCUGGAACUGCACCCGAUACUGUCAGGCUAGAGUCCCGGAGAGGGUGGCGGAAUUCCCGGUGUAGGGGUGAAAUCCGUAGAUAUCGGGAGGAACACCAGUGGCGAAGGCGGCCACCUGGACGGUGACUGACGCUGAGACUCGAAAGCGUGGGUAGCAAACAGGAUUAGAUACCCUGGUAGUCCACGCCGUAAACGGUGAGUGCUCGUCGUCGUGGGUAUUGACCCCUGCGGUGACCAAGUUAACGCAUGAAGCACUCCGCCUGGGAAGUA
rnacentral:rRNA from 1 species